rnacentral:lncRNA from 1 species
GGCAAGUUGGAAGCCACUGAGUGAGGCGACGCCCUCACUGAGCUGUAGUCUGGUUGGUCAGCUAGGACAGAAGAGGCCAGAGGGUCACAAGCCAAGGAUGUGCACAGUGGGCUGGUGGGCUUGUACGUUCUGCAGUGUGUUCUGCAGGGCAUUCUGCGGGGUGGCAGGUCACAAUGGGCCAUUGUUUGUACAGACCAAGUGACAGAACCUGGAACAGUAUGACGCUGUUUUUGUUAAAAACAAAACCAAACCACAACUGGCUAGCAGGCUAGCUGGUUGGCUGGCUGGCCUGCUGAGCAAAUCCUUACUCCCACAAGGAAAUGAAAAUGGACCCAGAAAGUGAUAAAAGCAGUCUGCAUUCCGACAGACACUGCAGAUAAAGCAUCUGCAGGACAGAUGGACAAGCUGGACAGAUGGACAAGCUGUUGUAUGGUUAUCAUGCCUCUUGCCCAGAGGGCACACUAUAGUAGGGGAGCUUUGGAAGAACCCAGCCCCAGGCUGUGGGUGCAGCAGAUCAGUCAGGCAUGGAGUAUGAACUUAACAUGUGAGAGGCCAUGGACUGUCAGAGCGGUCAGAAGUCUCAAGCAGGGCAGCCUGAACUGAAUCCAGCCCCAGAUGUUCUGCUGCUUGGCCUGUGGUGGGCUCCAUCCAUCGUGAUUUGAGUUCAUUGCCA